GGGGGCGCAAUGGUUUCGACGGGGGCAAGUUGCUCCUGGGAAGCGAGUCGAAGGGAUCCUGUACCUGCGUUAAAAAACUGGGAAUUUAAAUAUAAUUGCAAACGAUAAUUUUGCAUUAGCUGCCUAAUAGUUGCAGCUCGUCAGCCUAAGAGUCCCACGACUUAGGGUCUGGCGUCGACAGUGGGGAACCGAGCCUUACAAAGCUUUGAGUAAGGAACGGAAUUAAUGAAGCUACUGAAUCUAAGAGCCUGUUUAUCGGCGCUUAGAGGAGGGAAUGUAAAAGGAUAAACUGCACUCGGAGAUGCCCAGGGGUUGCUGCUUUCGGACAGGGGUUCGAUUCCCCUCGCCUCCACCA
rnacentral:tmRNA from 1 species